GCCGGGCGUUGUGGCGGGCGCCUGUAGUCCCAGCUACUUGGGAGGCUGAGGCAGGAGACUAGCUUCAGCCCAGGAGUUGGAGGUUGCUGUGAGUGUGAUGCCAUGGCACUCUACCCAGGGGGAUAGCUUGAGGCUCUGUCUCAAAAAAUAAAAAAAAAUAAAAAAUAAAAGCUAGUUUUUUUAGAGGCAGGGUCUUACUUUGUUGCCCUUGGUAGAGUGCAGUGGCGUCACAGCUCACAGCAUCCUCUAGCUCUUCGGCUUAGGUGAUUCUCUAGCC
rnacentral:sRNA from 1 species